rnacentral:rRNA from 1 species
UAAGCGACUAAGCGUACACGGUGGAUGCCCUGGCAGUCAGAGGCGAUGAAGGACGUGCUAAUCUGCGAUAAGCGUCGGUAAGGUGAUAUGAACCGUUAUAACCGGCGAUUUCCGAAUGGGGAAACCCAGUGUGAUUCGUCACACUAUCAUUAACUGAAUCCAUAGGUUAAUGAGGCGAACCGGGGGAACUGAAACAUCUAAGUACCCCGAGGAAAAGAAAUCAACCGAGAUUCCCCCAGUAGCGGCGAGCGAACGGGGAGCAGCCCAGAGCCUGAAUCAGUGUGUGUGUUAGUGGAAGCGUCUGGAAAGGCGCGCGAUACAGGGUGACAGCCCCGUACACAAAAAUGCACAUGCUGUGAGCUCGAUGAGUAGGGCGGGACACGUGGUAUCCUGUCUGAAUAUGGGGGGACCAUCCUCCAAGGCUAAAUACUCCUGACUGACCGAUAGUGAACCAGUACCGUGAGGGAAAGGCGAAAAGAACCCCGGCGAGGGGAGUGAAAAAGAACCUGAAACCGUGUACGUACAAGCAGUGGGAGCACGCUUAGGCGUGUGACUGCGUACCUUUUGUAUAAUGGGUCAGCGACUUAUAUUCUGUAGCAAGGUUAACCGAAUAGGGGAGCCGAAGGGAAACCGAGUCUUAACUGGGCGUUAAGUUGCAGGGUAUAGACCCGAAACCCGGUGAUCUAGCCAUGGGCAGGUUGAAGGUUGGGUAACACUAACUGGAGGACCGAACCGACUAAUGUUGAAAAAUUAGCGGAUGACUUGUGGCUGGGGGUGAAAGGCCAAUCAAACCGGGAGAUAGCUGGUUCUCCCCGAAAGCUAUUUAGGUAGCGCCUCGUGAAUUCAUCUCCGGGGGUAGAGCACUGUUUCGGCAAGGGGGUCAUCCCGACUUACCAACCCGAUGCAAACUGCGAAUACCGGAGAAUGUUAUCACGGGAGACACACGGCGGGUGCUAACGUCCGUCGUGAAGAGGGAAACAACCCAGACCGCCAGCUAAGGUCCCAAAGUCAUGGUUAAGUGGGAAACGAUGUGGGAAGGCCCAGACAGCCAGGAUGUUGGCUUAGAAGCAGCCAUCAUUUAAAGAAAGCGUAAUAGCUCACUGGUCGAGUCGGCCUGCGCGGAAGAUGUAACGGGGCUAAACCAUGCACCGAAGCUGCGGCAGCGACGCUGAUGCGUUGUUGGGUAGGGGAGCGUUCUGUAAGCCUGCGAAGGUGUGCUGUGAGGCAUGCUGGAGGUAUCAGAAGUGCGAAUGCUGACAUAAGUAACGAUAAAGCGGGUGAAAAGCCCGCUCGCCGGAAGACCAAGGGUUCCUGUCCAACGUUAAUCGGGGCAGGGUGAGUCGACCCCUAAGGCGAGGCCGAAAGGCGUAGUCGAUGGGAAACAGGUUAAUAUUCCUGUACUUGGUGUUACUGCGAAGGGGGGACGGAGAAGGCUAUGUUGGCCGGGCGACGGUUGUCCCGGUUUAAGCGUGUAGGCUGGUUUUCCAGGCAAAUCCGGAAAAUCAAGGCUGAGGCGUGAUGACGAGGCACUACGGUGCUGAAGCAACAAAUGCCCUGCUUCCAGGAAAAGCCUCUAAGCAUCAGGUAACAUCAAAUCGUACCCCAAACCGACACAGGUGGUCAGGUAGAGAAUACCAAGGCGCUUGAGAGAACUCGGGUGAAGGAACUAGGCAAAAUGGUGCCGUAACUUCGGGAGAAGGCACGCUGAUAUGUAGGUGAAGUCCCUCGCGGAUGGAGCUGAAAUCAGUCGAAGAUACCAGCUGGCUGCAACUGUUUAUUAAAAACACAGCACUGUGCAAACACGAAAGUGGACGUAUACGGUGUGACGCCUGCCCGGUGCCGGAAGGUUAAUUGAUGGGGUCAGCGCAAGCGAAGCUCUUGAUCGAAGCCCCGGUAAACGGCGGCCGUAACUAUAACGGUCCUAAGGUAGCGAAAUUCCUUGUCGGGUAAGUUCCGACCUGCACGAAUGGCGUAAUGAUGGCCAGGCUGUCUCCACCCGAGACUCAGUGAAAUUGAACUCGCUGUGAAGAUGCAGUGUACCCGCGGCAAGACGGAAAGACCCCGUGAACCUUUACUAUAGCUUGACACUGAACAUUGAGCCUUGAUGUGUAGGAUAGGUGGGAGGCUUUGAAGUGUGGACGCCAGUCUGCAUGGAGCCGACCUUGAAAUACCACCCUUUAAUGUUUGAUGUUCUAACGUUGACCCGUGAUCCGGGUUGCGGACAGUGUCUGGUGGGUAGUUUGACUGGGGCGGUCUCCUCCUAAAGAGUAACGGAGGAGCACGAAGGUUGGCUAAUCCUGGUCGGACAUCAGGAGGUUAGUGCAAUGGCAUAAGCCAGCUUGACUGCGAGCGUGACGGCGCGAGCAGGUGCGAAAGCAGGUCAUAGUGAUCCGGUGGUUCUGAAUGGAAGGGCCAUCGCUCAACGGAUAAAAGGUACUCCGGGGAUAACAGGCUGAUACCGCCCAAGAGUUCAUAUCGACGGCGGUGUUUGGCACCUCGAUGUCGGCUCAUCACAUCCUGGGGCUGAAGUAGGUCCCAAGGGUAUGGCUGUUCGCCAUUUAAAGUGGUACGCGAGCUGGGUUUAGAACGUCGUGAGACAGUUCGGUCCCUAUCUGCCGUGGGCGCUGGAGAACUGAGGGGGGCUGCUCCUAGUACGAGAGGACCGGAGUGGACGCAUCACUGGUGUUCGGGUUGUCAUGCCAAUGGCACUGCCCGGUAGCUAAAUGCGGAAGAGAUAAGUGCUGAAAGCAUCUAAGCACGAAACUUGCCCCGAGAUGAGUUCUCCCUGACUCCUUGAGAGUCCUGAAGGAACGUUGAAGACGACGACGUUGAUAGGCCGGGUGUGUAAGCGCAGCGAUGCGUUGAGCUAACCGGUACUAAUGAACCGUGAGGCUUAACCU